UACGUAGGGGGCAAGCGUUGUCCGGAAUCAUUGGGCGUAAAGAGCGCGUAGGCGGCCCAGUAAGUCCGCUCUGAAAGUCAGAGGCUCAACCUCUGAAUGCGGGUGGAUACUGCUGGGCUAGAGUCCGGAAGAGGUGAGUGGAACUGCGAGUGUAGAGGUGAAAUUCGUAGAUAUUCGCAAGAACACCAGUGGCGAAGGCGGCUCACUGGCCCGAUACUGACGCUGAGGCACGAAAGCGUGGGGAGCAAACAGG
rnacentral:rRNA from 1 species